rnacentral:sRNA from 1 species
AGAAAGUGUUGGAAUUCAAGGAUUUGAUCAAGCAAAGGUGGUGAGCAAAUUACAUUGGUAAAAGCACAGAGAUUGUACUUGAAGACUAGGACUAUGAGUAUUUUUACUCCUGAUACUAUUUGGAGGUAGUUGGGACCUAGAUUGAGUUGUCC